GACAUAGACUGCAAAAUAGCCUUUUGGGAUAUCCAAGGUCUUUGAAGCUGUCUUGUUUGCAUUAGAUGAAGAUCGAGUCAGACUUCUCUUGGGGCUAACAAUUCCAGGCAGCCGGAAACCCAUGGCUUCCAUAUUCCCAAGUGGAUAAAUAAUAAAAAGACUUGAAAGGAUCUGGGAAAUAGAGAAAGCUUUGAUGUUUGAUAAAUGAGAGGAGUUGAGUUCCUGAUGAUUGAUUUGUGUAUGUAUAUAUAGAUGAUGAAAGGGUGUGUGGAAGAUCAUCUACUACAUGAAAUGAGUGGUUAACAUUGGCACCAAUGAGGGAGGCGAGCUUGUUUCAAAUCAAGAAAUCACAUGGGUUUGUCUUCCCAUUCACUUAAUUCAGCCACCAGCAGAUGCAUAUGCUGCUGCCCUUUUUUUCAAACAUCCUUCCCUACAUCCUUGAGAUGACGGACAAUACAGGGUCACAGGGACCAGAAGUGAGGUAUCUGUCUAAUAAAACCUAUCAGCAUUGAUUCAGACUUUCACUUCUAUCCAACUCUGGACCACUGGUGAAUAAUGUUUCUUUACAGACAAGAAUUGGUGGAUCGCCAAGCCAGCCUACCAUGUGGUCUUGCUGCUUCAUGAGAAGUAGCAGUCUGAUCAAAUGCUAACUAGUACAGGGUAUCAUUAACUUUCACAGAUAUUGAGAAUCUUUACUGAAAUGAAGAAAAGCUUGCAUGCCUCCCAGGAUUUCUGAGCAGUGUAUUCAAUUCUAAAACUCCAAAGUCGACUUC
rnacentral:lncRNA from 1 species